rnacentral:rRNA from 1 species
AUACGGAGGAUGCGAGCGUUAUCCGGAUUUAUUAGGUUUAAAGGGUGUGUAGGCGGUAUUUUAAGUCAGUGGUGAAAUCUUUCAGCUUAACUGAGAAACUGCCAUUGAUACUGGAAUACUUGAGUAUAGUUGAGGUAGGCGGAAUAUGUAAUGUAGCGGUGAAAUGCAUAGAUAUUACAUAGAACACCGAUUGCGAAGGCAGCUUACUAAACUAUUACUGACGCUGAUGCACGAAAGCGUGGGGAGCGAACAGAAUUAGAAACCCUGGUAGUCC